GAUGAAGAACGCAGUGAAAUGCGAUAAUUAAUGUGAAUUGCAGAAUUCAGUGAAUCAUCGAGUCUUUGAACGCACAUUGCGCCCCCUGGUAUUCCGGGGGGCAUGCCUGUCCGAGCGUCAUUGCUGCCCUCAAGCACGGCUUGUGUGUUGGGCUUCCGUCCCUGGCAACGGGGACGGGCCCAAAAGGCAGUGGCGGCACCAUGUCUGGUCCCCGAGCGUAUGGGGCUUUGUCACCCGCUCCCGUAGGUCCAGCUGGCAGCUAGCCUCGCAACCAAUCUUUUUAACCAGGUUGACCUCGGAUCAGGUAGGGAUACCCGCUGAACUUAAGCAUAUCAAUAAGCGGAGGA
rnacentral:misc_RNA from 1 species